UGUGUAGGCGGUUCUUUAAGUUUGGUGUGAAAUCUCCCGGCUUAACCGGGAGGGUGCGCCGAAUACUGAGGGACUAGAGUACGGGAGAGGAAAGUGGAAUUCCUGGUGUAGCGGUGAAAUGCGUAGAUAUCAGGAGGAACACCGGUGGUGUAGACGGCUUUCUGGACCGUAACUGACGCUGAGACACGAAGGCGUGGGUAGCAAACA
rnacentral:rRNA from 1 species